rnacentral:tRNA from 2 species
GCUCGCUUAGCUCAGGGGUAGAGCGAGGUCUUUACACGGCCCAGGUCGGGGGUUCAAAUCCCUCAGCGAGCA